rnacentral:lncRNA from 1 species
AAGAGGCAUAAAUGGGUAUUAGGGUUUAGGGAAUUAUCAGAGAAGAUGCCUUUAUUGUCUCUUUGUUUAAUUCACCACUCUUGAAAUUCAUAGUUAGGAGGAGACAUAAAUAUAUGUACGUAUAUAAAAUGAACUGUAUGUAUAGGUGAGUAUGUUCUGAGAUCUGUGAACCAUUACAGUGAGAGAUAUUGAGGGGUUUUAGGUAAAAGUAGAUUCGUUCACCAGAUGAAGCGGAAGGGUCUGUAAUGAAGUGAAGAUGCAUCUGUGGUUUAAUUUGGGUAUGCAGAGAGAAAAGGUUUGGUUGAGAUCGAUU